GCAGAGUGAUCAGCAAUAGUAGAGAAAAAGAGAGUAGUGGUAGUAUUAGAGAGAAGAGAGCAAAGAGUAGAGAGUAGUAGUGUAUUGCAAAGGUGCAGAAAGAAUUUGUGAGAAUUGUGUUAGAGUGUUUUUGUAAAACUUGUGUUGUUGUGUUUUUUCGUAAACUUGUUGUGUCUGAAACUUAUGUGUGUUGUGAGAUUUUAUAGAGAAAAAAC
rnacentral:lncRNA from 1 species